UGUUCGUCCCUUCCCCUCCCCUCCCCUCCCCCCUCUCUUCGAUUUUUCUCCUUCUUUCUCUUCGCUCUUCGUCGAUCCGUAUGAAUCGCCUUUUGGCACAGAGUUCCCUCUCUCUUUCUUGCAAGAACUUGCACAGCAUUCCCCGCGUUUCUACGCUCGCGCACGAUUCGCGAGUUUCGAGCGGCUCUCUCGCGGCUAAGGCGAGAAAGAGAAGGACGGCGCGAUCACAUUGUUUCGAUGUUAUUUGAAGUCGUUAAUUAUGCAUGGAAAUUGAAGAUGUAUGGCUUGGCCGAUCUUGGUCUAUUCGAGGUCCGAGACACGAGUGACUGCUCGACGGAAAUGGAGUCUCUGUGUAGUCAGGCUUUGUGCGGGGUUAAAGAGACGUGUAAGAAAACAGUAAAUAGAGUACCGUCGCCUCUGACAACUGUGCAGUUUUAAGAGCGUCUGACGUCUUGUAAAGCGAUGUUGCCUUUUCGUUUAAGUAUAUUGUUUCACAUAUACCGCUGUUAUACCAGUUCACUACGAAUUUUAUCUAUUAAUUUUUGUAUUAAUUUUCUAAUAAUUAAACAUUUGAAUCAGUGUUUUGAAUUUUCUAUUGAUUAAAUUGGAUAUCGCUGUUAUUCAAUUUUUUCGAAGAUAUAAAAUAUACAUUUUUUUUUUUAUUUAUAAGAUAAUAUACACGAUCUUAAGAGCAUCCUGUCAAAAUUGAGAAUCGCGUUUCUUCCUCCGUGAGACAAUUGAGACAAUUUAUCGAUCAACUCGUGUUUCUUAUGCGCGUGUAAACGCUCGUGUAAACUCCACGAACGUGAAGAGUUUAACGCUCUAAGUGAUACAAAGCUGUCCGCGAUUGACGCCGCAUUCUCACCCGCUAGGCGUUCGCGUACCGGUAAAUGCGGCCGAUUCAUCAUGGAAUCAUUCGCGCCAGGAGAAUUCAUUUAUAUUAAUGAAUAACUUAUUAAUCACGGCUGACGAGUGGCCGUGGCCCUUUGCAAGCGUAUCAAUUAUUAUUCGCGCGCGUUACAGGUGUCCCUAAACGUGACUCCGUUCUGGAACAGAAGUGAGGUUAUGUUUUGAUUAAAUAUGGCGCAUGUUCAAUUUUCUGUUCAGGUUAGGUGAAUUGGAAGCUUAAUUUUCAGUUGCUGGCAAAAAGAAAAUAAGGAAAUAAUAAAAGUGAAUGGUAAAGUGAAGAAGUAAGAAGUAAUUAGAAUGAUUGGAUAUUGGUUAAGUAAGAAAUUAAUAGUUGAAAAGUUCUAUAAAUUUCUGCUUUAUAUAAAAAGCAAGAAAAAAUAUUUACAAACUUCCAUAGAAAUUUUAUUUUCCCCUUUUGCUGGUGAAAUCGGUGGUUCACUCAGAGUCCUGUGAAGUACUCGUUGCUUGAGGAAGUUUGAGAAAUUGUCUAAAGUCCUUCGAUUGACAGAAACAAUAUGUUUCUUCGAUCCUUCUUCCGUUUCAAUUUUAACGAGCUCCACGGGACACGAGGGUCGCAAAUUUUGAUUUUUCUAGAAGCCGUGCAAACGGAAUAAUGAUGGAUAAGAGAUGCUGAGAUUUAAUUUCGAUGAUUAGGAUUGAAUAAUUGGUGAUGUGCUGACUCGAAUGAGCGAGAAUCCACCUCGUUGAUUUUUUUUCUUUCAAUUAACAUUCCUAUAUCUCCUUUUUCAGCGAAAAAGAGUGCUAUGAAGUUGAUUGAAGUCCAGGAAUGUGAGGUUCGUGAGAUCUAUCAGUAAUAGAAAUGCGAUUCGAUUGGUGUGUAAUAUUGCUUAAUGUCUGAUAAUUUCAACCAUGAUAAAGUUGCAUUUUCAAUGUAUAAUUAACAGUGAUUGCAGUCGUAUAAUUGAAAAUUUGUUUAAUUGUUUCCCAAUUAAAUAGCUUUUUAUUAUGAUUUAAAGAUUAUUCAGUGAUGCUUAAAUUAAAGAGAAAUAAAUGUACAUAUACCUUUCGAAAGGUUAAAGGUAUGCAAAAUAUAUUUGCGAAAUAAUUUCUUCUCUUCAAAACUCUCUUAUAUUUAUCGUAAAUGAUAUUUCACUUUAAAAUAUUCCAAGUGUCAUAAAAUAGAAAUCUUUUAACCUCGAUAUCCUCUCGAAGUAUAGAUUUUAAAAAAAAUAUAACCCUCAAUUCUUUCCCUAGAUCAAUUUCUGAAAAUCUAGAGCAUCAAAACGAAAUUCUAGAGAACAUACAUAGAUUUUCCGAGCCUCCAAUAAAACUUCCAAAAGAAUUUCCUCAACUCCUGAAUCCGAAUAAAAAUUUCCUCCCAUGAUAAAUCGUCGCGUUUAUAAAACUCCCCACCUCGUUUUUCACCAUGGGCCAUCCGCGUCACACUCUUCCCUCCGCGAGCCGACGCAAAAAGCACCCUUCACCCUCGCGGCUGACUAAUCUUCAAUUAUUCCAAUACACGAUGAAAUAUUACAAUCGAAUAAUUUAUUCGCCCGAUAACGCGCCACGGCGUUAAUGACGAUCCUUCCCUCCCUACACCCGACCGUCCAUCCACGCUAAUUACAAAAUAGCAACUGUGCACGCGUGCAACGAUUAUCAUUAUCGCCGACGAGCCGGUCGUUUCACCGGGCAACGGAGAAAAAGUGGAAAAAGGCCCCUUUACCUUUAAUCCACGGCCAACGCACAAAAGGGUUGCAUCAUAAAAGGGUUGUUGCCAGUCCGGUUGUUGCAGAAGAACCGGAUGCUGAUUAACGGCCAGCCGAGACACUAACGAUCCCGUAUUACCGCGAUAUAAAUGAUGAUAUUAACAAUCUUGUAAACUGCAUCGUGGGAGUCGGUCGAAGGUGAAACGCUCCUCUCCGCUCGCCGGUAAUUAAGAUCUUAAUUAGGUAUUCACCGGUUACCUACGCGUACCUAUCGUUAUUGACCUUCUCUCUCCGCUGCGCAGCCCGUUGCUUCCUCGAACGAGACUUCAAUCCCACCACCAGUUUCCACAACAACACCAUCGGUUUGACGACAACGUUCGAGAGGGUAUCGAUAAAUCCACUGCAGUCUGAUCCAGAGAGGCAGCGUAAAUUACGUCUAUCUACGGAAAGAGAGAGAGAGAGAGAGCUUAUCGAUCGAUCCCCAAGAUUAAUUUGCCUGCAAUUAAUCCCAUCCUCGAACAGGGGCCUCGAAUAGGCCUCGAACAAUCGGCUAGAUUUCAAACAGACACGGAGGAGGAAAUGCAGCGCAUCGGAUUCCUUGAUUCGAUUAUCGAGGGUGCAUCUCUGCCAGAUACUUUUCUCGAGAUCCAUCGUUCGAUAAGAUCCGAGGAGUCUCUCUCUCUCUCUCCCUCUCGGCUUUAUCCGCUCGAUAGUUCAGUUAUUUAAGAAGCUUUUCUUGGAGGAAUCUCGGAGGAUUUGAUUGUUCGUGCGGAGACAAUGGGUUCCAUGUGUAUCGACGGACGAGAGCAAAGCCGACCGACGAAUAAUUAAAAUAUUUUGACGGCCCCGUUUGCGCGCGCGCAACGCCUCCUUAUUUCACGACUUGCGCCGGGCUGGACGAUAAAGAACGGGCCGGAAUGCCGGACGAUCGUAUCACCGCGACUUUUAUGCUUUCUUAUGUCGACCACACGCACACUCCGUUGUGGGAAACGUCAUACCCUGGGAUCGUAUAAGUAAGGCGAUCCGCCUCGGGGGAGGGGAGGGGGGAUUGUUUCGAUGGGUAAUGACGUUUUAGCGGUAACAGGAUACCGUGGAUUUUUUAAGGGAUUUAAGGGGAUCAUUGAUUGAAAGAAAGAAGCGGUUAUUUGUGAAUCUUCAAGAGUUUUGAGGUUACGUUUGAUUUGAAGAAUUUGAAGAAUGUCGCUUCUUAAACAUUUCAUUAAGAGUAUUUUUAAUUUGAUGAGGAUAAUUGAAUAGUUGGAUAGGGGAAAUAUACGUAAGUGUUUGUAAUUCUUUUUUGUAACAGUAGUGUGAAUCAAUUAAAAAUAUCGCAUUGAAGAGAAUUGAAUACUAAUUUUUCAUGGAUUAAAAUAAUUUUUAUUGUGAUAUUACUCGAGGUAUUUUCUCCUUGCUUUAUAUUUGAUAAAAUGAAGAAUACAUUUGGUAAUAUGUGUAAAAUUAUAGGUUUUGCAAGGCGAGUUGCGAAAAAAUCAAGAAAAUGAUCGAAUCAUUGAUGGCACAGCCGGCUGUGACGUUUCAAUUUCUUGACAGUUUGAGUUUGUCCGUCGACCAUAAGCGUAUAUGCUUGGAAUAUCUGAUGAAAUUCAAUUUCAAUGAAAGAUUCAAUGAAAUAAUUCCAUGAAAGAUUUUAUGGAUUCAAAAUAGUUUAUUGGAAUAGUUGCCUCCCUUUAUCGUCUGUGAUUUAUUCCCUGUAACAAAGUACAAGAAAAAAGAAAAAAGAAGACAGCUCGUUAAGCUCAAAUAUAAGUUAUACCAAAUUGUAAAAUAAAAUAUUAAGUAUUAUAAAUUUUUACUACAAAUUGUAAUUUUUUUGAAAAUUAAUAAAUAAAGAAUAUGUUCUUAA